CCGGCGCACGGGUGAGUAACGCGUAUGCAACUUGCCUAUCAGAGGGGGGUAACCCGGCGAAAGUCGGACUAAUACCGCAUGAAGCAGGGAUCCCGCAUGGGAAUAUUUGCUAAAGAUUCAUCGCUGAUAGAUAGGCAUGCGUUCCAUUAGGCAGUUGGCGGGGUAACGGCCCACCAAACCGACGAUGGAUAGGGGUUCUGAGAGGAAGGUCCCCCACAUUGGUACUGAGACGCGGACCAA
rnacentral:rRNA from 1 species